GAUGAGCGCUAGCGGCAGGCUUAAUACAUGCAAGUCGAGGGGCAGCGGGGUAGCAAUACCUGCCGGCGACCGGCAAACGGGUGCGGAACACGUACACAACCUUCCUUUUGGUGGGGAUAGCCCAGAGAAAUUUUGGAUUAAUACCCCAUAGUAUGAUACCGAAGCAUUUUGGUAUUAUUAAAGAUUUAUUGCCAGAAGAUGGGUGUGCGUCUGAUUAGGUAGUUGGUAGGGGUAACGCCACCAAGCCAGCGAUCAGUAACUGGUGUGAGAGCACGACCAGUCACACGGGCAC
rnacentral:rRNA from 1 species